AGAUUGAACGCUGGCGGAAUACUUUACACAUGCAAGUCGAACGGCAGCACGGGGGGCAACCCUGGUGGCGAGUGGCGAACGGGUGAGUAAUACAUCGGAACGUGCCCAGUCGUGGGGGAUAACUACGCGAAAGCGUAGCUAAUACCGCAUACGAACUCUGGUUGAAAGCGGGGGACUCGCAAGAGCCUCGCGCGAUUGGAGCGGCCGAUGGCAGAUUAGGUAGUUGGUGGGGUAAAGGCUCACCAAGCCGACGAUCUGUAGCUGGUCUGAGAGGACGACAGCCACACUGGGACUGAGACACGG
rnacentral:rRNA from 1 species